rnacentral:rRNA from 1 species
GGUUAAGCGACUAAGCGUACACGGUGGAUGCCCUGGCAGUCAGAGGCGAUGAAGGACGUGCUAAUCUGCGAUAAGCGUCGGUAAGGUGAUAUGAACCGUUAUAACCGGCGAUUUCCGAAUGGGGAAACCCAGUGUGAUUCGUCACACUAUCAUUAACUGAAUCCAUAGGUUAAUGAGGCGAACCGGGGGAACUGAAACAUCUAAGUACCCCGAGGAAAAGAAAUCAACCGAGAUUCCCCCAGUAGCGGCGAGCGAACGGGGAGGAGCCCAGAGCCUGAAUCAGUGUGUGUGUUAGUGGAAGCGUCUGGAAAGGCGCGCGAUACAGGGUGACAGCCCCGUACACAAAAAUGCACAUGCUGUGAGCUCGAUGAGUAGG